rnacentral:rRNA from 1 species
AUUGAACGCUGGCGGCAGGCCUAACACAUGCAAGUCGAACGAGUGGCGGACGGGUGAGUAAUGUCUGGGAAACUGCCUGAUGGAGGGGGAUAACUACUGGAAACGGUAGCUAAUACCGCAUACCAUCGGAUGUGCCCAGAUGGGAUUAGCUAGUAGGUGGGGUAAAGGCUCACCAAGGCGACGAUCCCUAGCUGGUCUGAGAGGAUGACGUGCCACACUGGAACUGAGACACGGUCCAGAGUCCUACGGGAGGCAGCAGUGGGGAAGAUUGCACAAUGGGGGAAAGCCUGAUGCAGCCAUGCCGCGUGUAUGAAGAAGGCCUUCGGGGUGUAAAGUACUUUCAGCGGGGAGGCGUUACCCGCAGAAGAAGCACCGGCUAACUCCGUGCCAGCAGCCGCGGUAAUAC